ensembl:lncRNA LINC02479 long intergenic non-protein coding RNA 2479
GAAUGGGACAGGUGCUUAUAAAAGAGGCAUGAGAUAGCUUUUUUGCCACUUCUUUCAUAUGAGAAUACAGUUCAAAAGUACUAUCUGUGAGGAAUGGUCCCUCACCAGGCAUUGAAUCUUCCAGUAACUUGAUUUUGGACUUUCCAAUCUCCAGAACUGUGAGAAAUACAUUUCCUUGGUUUACAAUAUAAUCGAUGUUUAGUAUUUUGUUAAAGCAGACUGAACAGGCUAGGAUAUAUUACCCUUAAUAUAAUCAUUCCAACAAGAGAAGAAGCCAGCAGAAUUGGUAGAGCGUAUAGGCAGUGGGGGUUCAGCAACCAUGUGAAUCAAAGUUAAAAGUUCAACCAGGAACUAUAAAAGAAAGAAAUGCUCUGGACACUUGUUAAAAAUGGCAAGGAAACUGUAGUCCCAGCUACUCCAGAGGCUGAAGCAGGAAGAUCACUUGAGGCCAGAGUUUGAAGCCAGCCUUGGCAACAUAACAAGACCCCAUCUCUAGAAAAAGAAAAAAAAGACAAGGAGACUUCAGUCAAGACUCUUGCAAUAUGGAUCAAGACUGUUUCAAUAAAAGAGAGCAAUUAUAUUCAACUUCACUGAAAGAAAAGCUAACAAGUGAGGCUGCUUCAGUUUCAUGGAUACAUCCAGAAGAUAAAAAUCUCCUGGAGCUGCGUAAAAAGACUAUUACUUACAGCACAGCAGGCAGCAGUUGUUUUAUGUUUACAUAUAUUUUUUGUGUCUCCCAAGACUCACAGGAGCAAUGCAGAAGCAGGCACAAGGGGAUGCUGCCCAUACAAUGUGUUUGUGUCACAGCUAAGGGAUUCCAAAUCUAGGAAGCCCAUAUUUUGUAAAGGAGGCUGCCAACCUGGCUUACCUUAGCCAUAGACUUUUUUUUUUUAAUUCUGGAUAGACAAUAAAUCUCCUCUGUUUCCCAGAGAAAGACACCA